rnacentral:lncRNA from 1 species
GUACACUUAUACGUGCCCGUUCUCUCUCCCUCUUUAAAUUUUCCUCUAUAUUUACUAUGGCUUUAUACCCAAAGCAAUCUACUAUAUUUUAUUCAAUCUCACAAGCAAUCAAGAGAAAAAUCUCAGCAAAACAAGUUCCCACAAUUUUUCUUUCCAAGUGCAUAUUAUAAUAUAAGAUUCAUUACGUAAGGUGAGAUGCUCAGUGCUAUUAGUGAUUUUUUUCCACAUCUUUAAAAUGCGCUGUUAUGUGUGAAUUUAAUUACUUCAGUUCAUGGUUCCUUGGGGAGAAAUCAUGAUACAUUUUAAGGCACAAUUUAACUUUUACGUUAUUUUUGCAAUGCUUGCUAGAUUAUUAUUUCUCAUGGUGUAAUUAUUCUCAUUUUAUGUUGGUAAGAGAAUUUAUGCAUAAUUUCAUAUUUGAUUUAAAUGUGGAGUACCAAGCAUCUCAUUGAGUAUAAUUCGUUAUUCACAUCCCUCUUUAUUUACAAGUUUCAGGUAAAAAUAAGUAUGAUGGACGACAAUGGAUGGAUAUGCUAUUAGACUAAUAGAUUCUGAACAUGAUGUACUUUAAUUUUUGAGAACAUUAGAAUUUUAAAU